rnacentral:rRNA from 1 species
AUUGAACGCUGGCGGCAGGCUUAACACAUGCAAGUCGAACGAGUGGCGGACGGGUGAGUAAUGCUUGGGAAUCUAGCUUAUGGAGGGGGAUAACUACGGGAAACUGUAGCUAAAACCGCGUACCCUAGGAUGAGCCCACGUGGGAUUAGGUAGUGGGUGAGGUAAAGGCUCACCAAGCCGACGAUGUCUAGCGGGUCUGAGAGGAUGACCAGCCACACUGGGACUGAGACACGGCCCAGACUCCGACGGGAGGCAGCAGUGGGGAAUAUUGCGCAAUGGGGGCAACCUGACGCAGCCAUGCCGCGUGAAUGAAGAAGGCCUUCGGGUUGUAAAGUUCUUUCGGUAGCGAGGCGUUAUCUACAGAAGAAGCACCGGCUAACUCCGUGCCAGCAGCCGCGGUAAUAC